UUCCAAAUGUUAUCGGACUCGGGAUGGCCAACAUCUAAAAAAUGACCAGCUGCCAAUUGAGGUCUUGGGUAGCCAAUCAAGUCGCAUACAAGAUAAACCCUUUUAAAUAGCUCUAUAUAAACUUUGUAUCUCAGGAUUGCUCUACAAAACAGUUACCUUGCGAUGUAAUAAUUUAUCUUGCCAUUCCUUCUGAUGUUAGAUGCACAAUGGUUUAUGCUCAAUAAAGAUAUAUACAUGAA